CCUACGUGAGGCCGCAGUGAGGAAUAUUGGUCAAUGGGCGCGAGCCUGAACCAGCCAAGUAGCGUGAAGGAUGACUGCCCUACGGGUUGUAAACUUCUUUUAUAAAGGAAUAAAGUGAGGCACGUGUGCCUUUUUGUAUGUACUUUAUGAAUAAGGAUCGGCUAACUCCGUGCCAGCAGCCGCGGUAAUACGGAGGAUCCGAGCGUUAUCCGGAUUUAUUGGGUUUAAAGGGAGCGUAGAUGGGUUGUUAAGUAAGUUGUGAAAGUUUGCGGCUCAACCGUAAAAUUGCAAUUGAUACUGGCAGUCUUGAGUACAGUUGAGGUAGGCGGAAUUCGUGGUGUAGCGGUGAAAUGCUUAGAUAUCACGAAGAACUCCGAUUGCGAAGGCAGCUUACUAAACUGCCACUGACAUUGAUGCUCGAAAGUGUGGGUAUCAAACAGGAUUAGAUACCCUAGUAGUC
rnacentral:rRNA from 1 species